rnacentral:rRNA from 1 species
UACAGAGGGGGCAAGCGUUGUUCGGAAUUACUGGGCGUAAAGGGCGCGUAGGCGGCCCGCUAAGUCGAACGUGAAAUCCCCAGGCUCAACCUGGGAACUGCGUCCGAUACUGGAUGGCUUGAAUCCGGGAGAGGGAUGCAGAAUUCCAGGUGUAGCGGUGAAAUGCGUAGAUAUCUGGAGGAAUACCGGUGGCGAAGGCGGCAUCCUGGACCGGCAUUGACGCUGAGGAGCGAAGGCCAGGGGAGCAAACGGG